GUGGGGAAUAUUGGGCAAUGGGCGAAAGCCUGACCCAGCAACGCCGCGUGAAGGAAGAAGGUCUUCGGAUCGUAAACUUCUAUCCUUGGUGAAGAUAAUGACGGUAGCCAAGAAGGAAGCCCCGGCUAACUACGUGCCAGCAGCCGCGGUAAUACGUAGGGGGCAAGCGUUGUCCGGCAUGAUUGGGCGUAAAGGGCGCGUAGGCGGCCUGGUAAGUCUGGAGUGAAAGUCCUGCUUUUAAGGUGGGAAUUGCUUUGGAUACAGUCGAGCUUGAGUGCAGGAGAGGUAAGUGUAAUUCCCGGUGUAGCGGUGAAAUGCGUAGAGAUCGGGAGGAACACCAGUGGCGAAGGCGACUUACUGGACUGUAACUGACGCUGAGGCGCGAAAGUGUGGGGAGCAAACAGGAUUAGAUACCCUUGUAGUCC
rnacentral:rRNA from 1 species